UACGGGGGGUGCGAGCGUUGUCCGGAAUCACUGGGCGUAAAGGGCGCGUAGGUGGUCUGAUAAGGGUGUGGUGAAAGCCCGGGGCUCAACCCCGGGUCGGCCGUGCCGACUGUCAGACUAGAGUGCUGUAGGGGCAGGCGGAAUUCCGGGUGUAGCGGUGGAAUGCGUAGAGAUCCGGAGGAAGACCGGUGGCGAAGGCGGCCUGCUGGGCAGUUACUGACACUGAGGCGCGGACAGCGUGGGGAGCAAACAGGG
rnacentral:rRNA from 1 species